UCUGGGUCGCAUGGCUACGCGCCGUUGCUUGUAUUCCUGGUUUGGUUACGACCGGAUCGGGUUUAUGAGUCGGUGUAGUGGUUGUGCAGCCUUUCUGCCGUGUCUGUUUUACAGGUGCUGGCGGACGGAUGGGCUUGCUCGUCAGUCUGUCAGCAUGCUUCCGAAUGCCUUUAAACGGGUGUUGGGGGCGGACGGCACGUUUACUUUGAACAAAUUUGAGUGCUCAAAGCAGGCCCUUGUGCCUGAAAAGUCUUGCAUGGAAUAAUGGAAUAGGACUUCGGUUCUAUUUNGUUGGUUNNCGGAUCCGAAGUAAU
rnacentral:rRNA from 1 species